rnacentral:rRNA from 1 species
CUACGGGAGGCAGCAGUGGGGAAUAUUGCACAAUGGGCGCAAGCCUGAUGCAGCCAUGCCGCGUGUAUGAAGAAGGCCUUCGGGUUGUAAAGUACUUUCAGCAGUGAGGAAGGCGGAUGCGUUAAUAGCGUAUUCGUUUGACGUUAGCUGCAGAAGAAGCACCGGCUAACUCCGUGCCAGCAGCCGCGGUAAUACGGAGGGUGCGAGCGUUAAUCGGAAUUACUGGGCGUAAAGCGCAUGCAGGUGGUGUGUUAAGUCAGAUGUGAAAGCCCGGGGCUCAACCUCGGAAUAGCAUUUGAAACUGGCACACUAGAGUACUGUAGAGGGGGGUAGAAUUUCAGGUGUAGCGGUGAAAUGCGUAGAGAUCUGAAGGAAUACCAGUGGCGAAGGCGGCCCCCUGGACAGAUACUGACACUCAGAUGCGAAAGCGUGGGGAGCAAACAGGAUUAGAUACCCUGGUAGUCCACGCCGUAAACGAUGUCUACUUGGAGGUUGUGGCCUUAAGCCGUGGCUUUCGGAGCUAACGCGUUAAAGGGCGAA